rnacentral:rRNA from 1 species
CCUACGGGGGGCUGCAGUGGGGAAUAUUGCACAAUGGAGGAAACUCUGAUGCAGCGACGCCGCGUGAGCGAUGAAGGAAUUCGUUUCGUAAAGCUCUGUCCUAGGGGACGAUAAUGACGGUACCCUAGGAGGAAGCCCCGGCUAACUACGUGCCAGCAGCCGCGGUAAUACGUAGGGGGCGAGCGUUGUCCGGAAUUAUUGGGCGUAAAGGGUACGCAGGCGGCCAUGUAAGUCAGAUGUGAAAGAUCACGGCUUAACCGUGGUAAGCAUUUGAAACUGCUUGGCUUGAGUUAAGGAGAGGAAAGUGGAAUUCCUAGUGUAGCGGUGAAAUGCGUAGAUAUUAGGAAGAAUAUCAGUGGCGAAGGCGACUUUCUGGACUUAUACUGACGCUGAGGUACGAAAGCGUGGGGAGCAAACAGGAUUAGAUACCCCAGUAGUC